GAUGAACGCUGGCGGCGUGCCUAAUACAUGCAAGUCGAGCGAACAGACGAGGAGCUUGCUCCUCUGACGUUAGCGGCGGACGGGUGAGUAACACGUGGAUAACCUACCUAUAAGACUGGGAUAACUUCGGGAAACCGGAGCUAAUACCGGAUAAUAUAUUGAACCGCAUGGUUCAAUAGUGAAAGACGGUUUUGCUGUCACUUAUAGAUGGAUCCGCGCCGCAUUAGCUAGUUGGUAAGGUAACGGCUUACCAAGGCAACGAUGCGUAGCCGACCUGAGAGGGUGAUCGGCCACACUGGAACUUAGACACGGUCCAGACUCCUACGGGAGGCAGCAGUAGGGAAUCUUCCGCAAUGGGCGAAAGCUUGACGGAGCAACGCCGCGUGAGUGAUGAAGGUCUUCCGAUCGUAAAACUCUGUUAUUAGGGAAGAACAAAUGUGUAAGUAACUAUGCACGUCUUGACGGUACCUAAUCAGAAAGCCACGGCUAACUACGUG
rnacentral:rRNA from 1 species